AUUGAACGCUGGCGGCAUGCCUUACACAUGCAAGUCGAACGGCAGCACGGGGGCAACCCUGGUGGCGAGUGGCGAACGGGUGAGUAAUACAUCGGAACGUGUCCUGUAGUGGGGGAUAGCCCGGCGAAAGCCGGAUUAAUACCGCAUACGCUCUACGGAGGAAAGGGGGGGAUCUUAGGACCUCUCGCUACAGGGGCGGCCGAUGGCAGAUUAGCUAGUUGGUGGGGUAAAGGCCUACCAAGGCGACGAUCUGUAGCUGGUCUGAAGGACGACCAGCCCACUGGGACUGAGACACGGCCCAGACUCCUACGGGAGGCAGCAGUGGGGAUUUUGGACAAUGGGCGCAAGCCUGAUCCAGCAAUGCCGCGUGUGUGAAGAAGGCCUUCGGGUUGUAAAGCACUUUUGUCCGGAAAGAAAACGUCGUGGUUAAUACCCGUGGCGGAUGACGGUACCGGAAGAAUAAGCACCGGCUAACUACGUGCCAGCAGCCGCGGUAAUACGUAGGGUGCAAGCGUUAAUCGGAAUUACUGGGCGUAAAGCGUGCGCAGGCGGUCCGCUAAGACAGAUGUGAAAUCCCCGGGCUUAACCUGGGAACUGCAUUUGUGACUGGCGGGCUAGAGUAUGGCAGAGGGGGGUAGAAUUCCACGUGUAGCAGUGAAAUGCGUAGAGAUGUGGAGGAAUACCGAUGGCGAAGGCAGCCCCCUGGGCCAAUACUGACGCUCAUGCACGAAAGCGUGGGG
rnacentral:rRNA from 1 species